GACAGAGGGUGCAAACGUUGUUCGGAAUUACUGGGCGUAAAGCGCGUGUAGGCGGCCAUCUAAGUCGGGCGUGAAAUCCCACGGCUCAACCGUGGAAGUGCACUCGAAACUGGAUGGCUAGAGUCCUGGAGAGGAAGAUGGAAUGCUUGGUGUAGAGGUGAAAUUCGUAGAUAUCAAGCGGAACACCGGUGGCGAAGGCGGCCUUCUGGACAGUGACUGACGCUGAGACGCGAAAGCGUGGGGAGCAAACAGG
rnacentral:rRNA from 1 species